CAUCCUGACCACAUUUAAGUGCUGACAGAUGUAAGGGUAAUGUUGAUCUUUGGAGACUGUCUCCUGUGGAGCAGGGCGUGAUGAAGUGAAGCCCCUGGUCUGCUGAAUACUGCGACUGGCCCAGAGAGGCUCUGUGAUAGAUGUGGAUUAUCCCAGCUGGAGUACCUGGUACCAUUGGUGGUGAUCUCGUCCAACUGCCACACAACGAAUAGGAACAUCCACAGCCAGAUCAGAUUGCCCAGAGGCUGACCCAGCCUCACCUUGGAAGGGACAGGGCAUCCAUCACAUGUCUGGGGACUUCACCUGACUGCCUCAACUUCUCAAAUACCAUUGACAGUGGCUCAGUGACUGCAGCACUGAAUUCCCUUAGAAGUCUGGGACUCGUCUCGUCAGCACCCAAAGACUCCUGGAUGUUCAGGUCCUCAGGUGGCAGCGAGUUGCGGUGCUCCCGAGUGCCAUAACAACUGCAUGGAGAGGUGUGGGUCUUCACGGCAACAGCAAGGAACCAGAAUCUGCAUUUCCUGGAAUGCCACGGGACCCCACUUUGCUGACUGGUAAUUGUCUGCCCAGCAGGUGGCUGCAGAGCUGCAGUGCUCCUGAGAGCUCUAAGGACAGCAUGGAGAUGCGUGGGUCUUCACGGCAGCAGCAAGGAACCAGAAUCUGCAUUUCCUGGAAUGCCGCGGGACCCCACU